GUCGUAUAACGUAGAAAGAACUCACGGAUGUUACAUACUUUUAAUAUACAAAUACAAACACACAUGUGAACGAGUUGAAUACCAAAACUGAACUCCUCUCUGACAUUUGAGAAUCGUAUAUAUAAUAUCAACCUGUCCUAAGGACAUUUUAUAAUGUAUAUAAAUACACACGUUUUAGAGUUACAUAUAUAAAUCAUCCUGACAUAAGGUCAGUCCGUAUGCAUCUCCUGCACUAUAAUACUCAUAAAUCAUGUCAUGUUCCAUAGUGCACAUUAAGAAAUAAAAACCCUAAUAUAUGUAUAUACAUGUUGACUUGUCAUUCUUUUUGAAUAUAGCAUGUAUGACUAAUUAGCCUGUGCAACCAGCUAUACGACAAUACCUCCAUUACUUAUAAAAAAAAUAUUUAAAAAAAAAAGUUUUAAACAAGGUUACUAUCAAAUAUUUCAAACUCGUUGUAACAAAUCAACUUGACAUCUGUUUUACCCCUAAGGUAAGGAUGUUUUACAUCAACCUUUUGUUACUUUAUUCUCAAAGAAAAAUCGCCGAAGGUAAUAUCCGGUCAGAGAUGUCCGGUCAGAGAUGUUAUCUAAUGACUUUUUAUUAGUUUAUUUUUAAAAGAAAAAAUCACCUUAAGUCAUAUAAUCUCUGAUUGGUCAAUUGUAUAUCGUGCGUAACCUUUUUGUUUGAAUUCAUUUUAAUAGAAAAAUUUGGAUAGAUACAAUGUAGCACAGGUAAGUUUACUUUUGAUAUUAGUUUUAAAAGUUUUGAAUAAGUAAAAUAAUAAUUAUUGUUAAAUGUUCGAUUAAUCUUUAUGCAAAAAAAAUACAAAAAUAAUAUGUUAAAGUAACAUCUUUAUGCAAAAAAAAUACAAAAAUAAUAUGUUAAAGUAACAUAAGGUAAAUAUUAUAGCUUUAUAAGUUUUUCAAUAAAUAUUAAAUUUCCUUUAUUUCAUCAUAAAAAAAUAAAAAAAAGUUAAUUUCUAGAGAUCAAGAAAACAUAAAAAACAAACAAAUAAGUUAACAAUAUUCAAAGAACAAAUUAUUUUAAGAAUAUUAAUUAGAAAAACUUUAAGGUAUAAAAUUUAACAGAAUUAUAUGUAUGAUAAGAGUAGAAAAGAUAUUUAUAUACGAAAAAGUUAAAAAAAAUAUUAUAAACAAUUGAUAAUUGAUAAAAUGUCCAGGUGUUUCAUUUCCUGUAAAACGUGUAUUGUGCAUGCGCAUUGAACACUUCCUGUGACACGUAUAUUUUUUGUAACAGGUACUUGCUGACAUCAGUAUGGCUUGGUCUUCGUGACGUGUCGGGAAUUUCAAAUCGUUGAUAUAUGAACAACAAGACAACUGUCAUAAAAUGCAUAGGAUAAGAAUUCCAAUGAAAGAUGUUCUCUAGUGUACUUCGUUGUGUCCCGCUAUCCAAAAUCGUCGCUUCGACAUCCUGGUCACGGCACCAAAUCAACCGUUGUCGUAUAACGUAGGAAGAACUCACGGAUGUUACAUACUUUUAAUAUACAAAUACAAACACACAUGUGAACGAGUUGAAUACCAAAACUGAACUCCCUCUCUGACAUUUGAGAAUAGUAUAUAUAAUAUCAACCUGUCCUAAGGACAUUUUAUAAUGUAUAUAAAUACACACGUUUUAGAGUUACAUAUAUAAAUCAUCCUGACAUAAGGUCAGUCCGUAUGCAUCUCCUGCACUAUAAUACUCAUAAAUCAUGUCAUGUUCCAUAGUGCACAUUAAGAAAUAAAAACCCUAAUAUAUGUAUAUACAUGUUGACUUGUCAUUCUUUUUGAAUAUAGCAUGUAUGACUAAUUAGCCUGUGCAACCAGCUAUACGACAAG